rnacentral:rRNA from 1 species
AAUGAACGUUGGCGGCAUGGAUUAGGCAUGCAAGUCGAGCGAGAAGAGUUUUGAAGCUUGCUUUAGAACUCGGACAGCGGCGAAAGGGAGAGUAACGCGUAGUUAUGUGCCCUAGGGUCCGGAAUAGCCACGGGAAACUGUGGGUAAUGCCGGAUAAUAUCCCCGGAUCAAAGGUGUGAUUCCGCCCUAGGAGCAGACUGCGUCCUACUAGCUAGUUGGUGGGGUAAUGGCCUACCAAGGCAAGGAUGGGUAGCGGGGGUGAGAGCAUGACCCGUCUCAAGGGGACUGAGACACUGCCCAGAGACCUACGGGUGGCUGCAGUCGAGAAUCUUCGGAAAUGGGCGAAAGCCUGACCGAGCGAUGCCGCGUGCGGGAUGAAGGCCCUCGGGUUGUAAACCGCUGUCGUAGGGGAGGAAGGUUCCGUGAAGAGCGGAAUUUGACCUAUCCUAGGAGGAAGUACGGGCUAAGUUCGUGCCAGCCGCCGCGGUAACAC